rnacentral:rRNA from 1 species
CCUACGGGAGGCAGCAAUUAGGAAUCUUGCGCAAUGGGGGCAACCCUGACGCAGCGACACAGUGUGGAGGAGGAAGGUCUUCGGAUUGUAAACUCCUUUUAUGAGGGAAGAAUAGAUGACGGUACCUCAUGAAUAAGCACCUGCUAACUACGUGCCAGAAGCAUCGGUGAUGCGUAGGGUGCGAACGUUAUCCGGAUUUAUUGGGCGUAUAGAGAAGCGUAGGUGUUUUUGUAAGUCUUUAGUUAAAUACCACGGCUCAACCGUGGAGAAGCUUUGGAAACUACAGAAAUUGAGACAGGAAUGGGCGAAUGGAAUUCCCAGUGGAGCGGUGAAAUGCGUUGAUAUUGGGAGGAACAUCAGUGGCGAAGGCGAUUCGCUGGUCCUUGUCUGACACUAAGGCUCGAAAGCGUGGGGAGCGAAAC